AUUGAACGCUGGCGGCAGGCCUAACACAUGCAAGUCGAGCGGAUGAAGGGAGCUUGCUCCUGGAUUCAGCGGCGGACGGGUGAGUAAUGCCUAGGAAUCUGCCUGGUAGUGGGGGAUAACGUCCGGAAACGGGCGCUAAUACCGCAUACGUCCUGAGGGAGAAAGUGGGGGAUCUUCGGACCUCACGCUAUCAGAUGAGCCUAGGUCGGAUUAGCUAGUUGGUGGGGUAAGGGCCUACCAAGGCGACGAUCCGUAACUGGUCUGAGAGGAUGAUCAGUCACACUGGAACUGAGACACGGUCCAGACUCCUACGGGAGGCAGCAGUGGGGAAUAUUGGACAAUGGGCGAAAGCCUGAUCCAGCCAUGCCGCGUGUGUGAAGAAGGUCUUCGGAUUGUAAAGCACUUUAAGUUGGGAGGAAGGGCAGUAAGUUAAUACCUUGCUGUUUUGACGUUACCAACAGAAUAAGCAUCGGCUAACUUCGUG
rnacentral:rRNA from 1 species